GGAAGGUAUAGCUCAGUGGUAGAGGGCAUGCCUAGGAUGCACGAGGUCCUGGGUUCAAUCCCCAGUACCUCCA
rnacentral:tRNA from 1 species